rnacentral:rRNA from 1 species
AUUGAACGCUGGCGGCAGGCUUAACACGUGCAAGUCGAGCGGAGACUUCGGUCUUAGCGGCGAACGGGUGAGUAAUACCUAGGAAUCUGCCUAUUAGUGGGGGAUAACGAAUCGAAAGGUUCGCUAAUACCGCAUACGUCCUACGGGAGAAAGGGGGGGGGAUCUUCGGACCUCUCGCUAAUAGAUGAGCCUAGGCCGGAUUAGCUAGUUGGUAGGGUAAAGGCCUACCAAGGCGACGAUCUGUAGCUGGUCUGAGAGGAUGGCCAGCCACACUGGAACUGAGACACGGUCCAGACUCCUACGGGAGGCAGCAGUGGGGAAUAUUGGACAAUGGGGGCAACCCUGAUCCAGCCAUGCCGCGUGUGUGAAGAAGGCCUUCGGGUUGUAAAGCACUUUAAGCGAGGAGGAAGGUUUUUAGUUUAAUACACUAAAGAAUUGACGUUACUCGCAGAAUAAGCACCGGCUAACUCUGUG